UUUCUGGGCCCAGUGCCACCCUUUAGAAUCAGUAGAGGCAGGCAUCUCCAUUUUAGCAACGCCGGCCCCAUGCGUGACGCCCAGUGUUACGCUGUGCGUGAGUAACACAAUUUAGAAAUAAUCUUUCAUUCUUGCAAUGGACAGGUUAUGUACAAAGCACUUCCUUCCUCGGCCCUGUCCCGUGCCUGCCCCUGACACUGUGUGUGGCUCUGAGGCAGCUCUCCCAGAAUUCCUCCCGCAGGUCUCAACUCCACUUUCACUUCCUUCUUUGGAGUCAUCUUCCUUUCCAAAAUGGCUGCCACCUUCAAGUUGCCUCUCCCACAGUCCCUUCUUGGAUCCUUUCCCACAAACACGCAUGAGCUUCGCCGCCGGGCUUUUAGUCGUGGAUAUAAGCCCCUCCAAGGCCUGUGGUGCUGAGAUCACCUGUUUAUCCUCAGGGCUGCUGGGAUGUAAACUGCUCGAGAAGUGCUAGCUUGUCGAAUAAUAAGAGGGGCCACUCUGAUACUCAGUGGUCGAUUUUUCUUUUCCCAUCAUGGGACAAGGGGGCAGGCACCUUUUGGAGAGAAGAGGAUAUUUGAGAGGAAGGGGGUCACUGGGAGGAAGCUUCCAAACGCCAAGACCUGGCAUGGUGGGCUGCCCACCCCUGUCUGUGAGAAGAGGAGCCCCUAGGAAAAAGCAGAGAGAAGGCCAGAGGUAGCCCACCUGGAGCGCCCUCUUUGAUGAGGAAGGCCCCCGUGAGGAGACGAGCAUUCUUCCUAGAGCUGCAUCUGUCUGGACAGGUAGAAAGGAGGCCCCGGUGGGUUCCCGGAACCUCUGCAGAGCAUGCCUGUAUGUACUCGCUCUGCUGGCACGCCAUGAAUUGUUUUGGGGCUGUCUUGUUAGGAGAUUAAGUUUUCUUUUAAAAAGAUGAAGAAAGAAUCUCUAGCAGGGGCCUGAGUGGAGCUGACCUCUGAGGAGGAGAUGGCGGCAGAGGCUGGCUGACUGGCACUGCGUUUGUCUAAUUAAUCUUCUUGUCAACAGAGUUGUUCUUUGCUGGUGCCAGCCCUGACAUCAUCCUGCAAGCUUGUCACACCGGUUUCUAUCCAGCUACAAAGGCUGCCUCUCCGUGCUCCCUGCUCUCACCAACCACCUCAGCGUGGCCUGGGGUAUGGCGGUGUGGCACUGUGGCUGGGCUGGAACCCCUCUGGGGUGGAGGUGAGAGGGACCUUCCUUCCCCAGCCUCUGACUUAGAGGGUCACAGCUGAUAGGAAAGCUGGUCAGAGACCAGUAAGACAUUCUGAGUAACCUCAGGACUUACCAGAUUGGCGAGGGGGCUCAUCUAACAGCAAGUUGUCUCUUGUUCUCUUCCCUGACAUCAGCGCACAUUUCCCCACCUGAAAGUAGGUGCUCGAUAGUCUGUUGACUGAAUAAAUGAAUGGAGGCUAG